rnacentral:tmRNA from 1 species
GCACUUUUAUCUUAAUCAAUCCGGGAUUAUAUUGGUCGUGUUCCUUGUGAACUAUGGUGAUAAAUGCGCGUGUAAUAAGCGGUUCGGACCCGGGGGCGGUACCCGGCGCCUCCACCAAACGAUCUCUUCCUUCAGCAGAGAUCAUUUGGGGGCGAAAUAGGAUCGACGGACGUGUAAAAGCGAGGCUUUCACCCGCUUGAGCUGCGUUAGAAGCUCAAUCAACAAUAGUUGCUAAUGACAACUUUGCUGAAGGUGAACUGCUCGCUGCGUAACGCAGUGCGUGGAAAACCGCUUUAACUCCUAGGGCAUCAGCGCCUUAGGCGGGGCCCGGAGGCGCCUGGCAACAGAAGCCUCCACU